GCUGUCAUCGCAUAACGGCAAUGCUCCUGCCUUGUAAGCAGGAAACGUGGGUUCGACUCCUACUGACAGCUCCA
rnacentral:tRNA from 1 species